rnacentral:rRNA from 1 species
CAAUAGCGUAUAUUUAAGUUGUUGCAGUUAAAAAGCUCGUAGUUGGAUUUCGGAUGGGACUUGCCGGUCCGUCGUUUCGAUGUGCACUGGCCAGUCCUAUCUUGUUGUCGGGGACUAGCUCCUGGGCUUCACUGUCCGGGACUAGGAGCUGACGAGGUUACUUUGAGUAAAUUAGAGUGUUCAAAGCAAGCCUACGCUCUGAAUACAUUAGCAUGGAAUAACACGAUAGAACUCUGGCUUAUCUUGUUGGUCUGUGAGACCAGAGUAAUGAUUAAGAGGGACAGUCGGGGGCAUUCGUAUUUCAUUGUCAGAGGUGAAAUUCUUGGAUUUAUGAAAGACGAACUUCUGCGAAAGCAUUUGUCAAGGAUGUUUUCAUUA